UACGUAGGGUGCGAGCGUUGUCCGGAAUUAUUGGGCGUAAAGAGCUUGUAGGCGGUUUGUCGCGUCUGCCGUGAAAGCCCAGGGCUUAACCCUGGGUCUGCGGUGGGUACGGGCAGACUAGAGUGUGGUAGGGGAGACUGGAAUUCCUGGUGUAGCGGUGAAAUGCGCAGAUAUCAGGAGGAACACCGGUGGCGAAGGCGGGUCUCUGGGCAAUAACUGACGCUGAGGAGCGAAAGCGUGGGGAGCGAACAGG
rnacentral:rRNA from 1 species